UAGAGUUUGAUCCUGGCUCAGGACGAACGCUGGCGGCGCGCUUAACACAUGCAAGUCGAGCGAGAACCAGACCUUCGGGUCUGGGGACAGCGGCGAACGGGUGAGUAACACGUGGGUAAUCAACCCUUGACACUGGGAUAGCCCGGGGAAACCCGGAUUAAUACCGGAUGUCCCAUCUGGCUUUCGGGCCGGCUGGAAAAGGUAGCUUCGGCCUCCGGUCAAGGACGAGCCCGCGGCGGAUUAGCUUGUUGGCGGGGUAAUGGCCCACCAAGGCGACGAUCCGUAGCUGGUCUGAGAGGACGAUCAGCCACACUGGGACUGAGACACGGCCCAGACUCCUACGGGAGGCAGCAGUGGGGAAUCUUGCGCAAUGGGCGAAAGCCUGACGCAGCGACGCCGCGUGAGGGAAGAAGGCCUUCGGGUUGUAAACCUCUUUCAGGAGGGACGAAGCCACUCGGGUUAAUAGCCCAGAGGGUGACGGUACCUCCAGAAGAAGCCCCGGCUAACUACGUGCCAGCAGCCGCGGUAAUACA
rnacentral:rRNA from 1 species